UACAGAGGGGGCAAGCGUUGUUCGGAAUUACUGGGCGUAAAGGGCGCGUAGGCGGCCUGUUAAGUCGAACGUGAAAUCCCCGGGCUCAACCCGGGAACUGCGUCCGAUACUGGCAGGCUCGAAUCCGGGAGAGGGAUGCGGAAUUCCAGGUGUAGCGGUGAAAUGCGUAGAUAUCUGGAGGAACACCGGUGGCGAAGGCGGCAUCCUGGACCGGCAUUGACGCUGAGGCGCGAAAGCCAGGGGAGCAAACGGG
rnacentral:rRNA from 1 species